AUAGCCUCGGGAAACUGGGAUUAAUGCCCCAUGACGUAUCUGGAUCGCAUGGUCCGGAUACCAAAGUGGUAGCGGUGUAAGAUGGACUCGCGUCUGAUUAGCUAGUUGGUGGGGUAAGGGCCUACCAAGGCGACGAUCAGUAGCCGGCCUGAGAGGGUGAACGGCCACACUGGAACUGAGACACGGUCCAGACUCCUACGGGAGGCAGCAGUGGGGAAUAUUGCACAAUGGGGGAAACCCUGAUGCAGCGACGCCGCGUGAGCGAAGAAGGUUUUCGGAUCGUAAAGCUCUGUCCUUGGAGAAGAUGAUGACGGUAUCCAAGGAGGAAGCCCCGGCUAACUACGUGCCAGCAGCCGCGGUAAUACGUAGGGGGCGAGCGUUGUCCGGAAUUACUGGGCGUAAAGGG
rnacentral:rRNA from 1 species